UGCCGGAUAGCUCACUCGGUAAAGCAUCGCACUGCAAGUGACUAUCACGUCGCGGGUUCGAGCCCCGCUUCGUAC